GAACUCAUGACGACGAGAUCAUGACCUGAGCCGGAACCAAGAGUGGGACGCUUAACUGAGCUAUCCAGGCACCUGUACCACUUUUUAAAUCGCACCCUUAAAGGCUCACUCCGAUCCUGUGCAAGGUGUUGGGGAGUUCAUCACUUGCAACUUUAAAAUAAGGGAGCGGCUAAAUUUAGAAAAUGUGGAGCGGGAAUGAGAAAGCAGUGUGGGCUGUCCCCUCCACCCACCUUCCCGGGCUCCGUGCCUACCUUUACCCUCACCUACAAAUCUGAGCUGCAGAUCUGAAGCCUCCGUGGGAGAACGGUUUCAUCUUGGGGUGCCAGCCCGUGGCUGAGUGUGCUGCCAGGCGUGGCCGUGACUUUGUCCAGUGGAGUGGACGCUCCAACCCCCCCCCCCGCCAGGUGGCCCGACCCUGCUGUCCGGCUGAGAAAACUGACGCUCAGAGGACAGUCUGAAGUCUGUGCCCCGUCCCUCUCGUGGAGCCCACCACCAGCUUAGCCUGUGCCUCCCCGUGCACGGGGACAGCCAACUGUCACGAGGACCCCUGGGAGUCUCAUCAGUGUCCCUAGGCUCCAGAAGGGGAAAGUGGCCCAAGGGCACAUGGCCAGCGAGUGGCAGAGCCCUGCCCUGUGCUGCCCUGGUUACAGGUGGAGCGGUGUGCUGGGAUUGGUAGGAGGGUGGUGGGUGCACAGGUGAGGGCCUCGCUGAGGACGGGGUCGGAUUCCGAGUGGAGGGGGAGGGUGACUGGUGGAGGACGGAGCCCCACACCAUGGCCUGGCUCGCUGCCUGGGUACUUGGGACUAAGGAAGUAGAGGGCGAGGCCGCAUCACAGCCCGGAAGUCCCCAUCUAGCAGAACAUCUGUCCGAGGACAUCUGGAGGGAAACUGGUGGUCCCCAGGCUGAGCCCUCAGGGAGGUGCAUGGAGGCACUGAGCCGUUUCUGGAACCCCCCAGCUAUCACAAGUCUGUUCCCUUUGCCUGAAAUGCCUGAUGAACUCCUAUUCAUCCUUCAGCACCCAGCAUGAGCCUCCUCCUGACUGCUUGCUUUCUUCCUUCCAGAGCUGUAGGGACCUUCGCCUCUCUGGAUGGCCCUGUGCUCUUGAAGCCUUGAGCCUAGUGUCAUGCCAUCUGCCUCCCCCCCAGCCUCUGACCCCUGUGGGCAGAGCAAGGUCCCUGUGGCCAGCACAGGGCUGGCCGGCUGGCCCCAUCAUCAGGAGGAGGAGGGAAGCACCAAGUCCCCACCCAGCAGGUUCUGAGAGAGUCACUGGCCAGAGCCAGUGGUAAGUCCCAGCGUCCUGAUGAGCUGGUUUUGAUCUGGGGGGGCUUGGAGGGAAACCAAGUUUUCCCACCUCAGCCCCACAAAAGUGGUUUGGGACUGCUUUACAUAGCAUCCCAUGCUGGCCCCGUGGUGUCCGCCUGACCCUGCUGCUCAGAGUCAUGUGACGGAGUUCUAGAUACCCCACCCCCACUCUGUGUGGCCUGGUCAGCCUACCCCUGCAGGCUUCCUGGCUCUGAGGCCAAAGAAGUCACUGUCCUCACCCAGCCCUGAGCAGGGCCCCCUGGGAACAAGGCCUCCUUGGAGCCCGGGCUGUGGCUGGCUUUGGAGGCCAUGGCAGGACAGCUCUGUGAGAUCUGGAGGCCACCUACAGGGGGCUGCGAGCUCCGAGGUGACGGUGUGGGGGCUAAAGCACCGACUCUGAGAAGGCCCUUGGCCCGGGGAUCCCCAGCCCUGAUACCAGGGCCAAGACCCUGAGGAGCUGGAGCCAGGCGGGCUCGUAGCACUUAGAGGUGGGAAUACCGAGGCGAGAAAGAGGCACGGGGGCCGACCAGGCUUGGGAUCCCCUCUGGGAGCACCCCUGAGUGGCCGCUGGGUGCCAGGGGCCUCGUGUUUCUCCCUGCACCCUCCCUGUUGCCCCCAGCCCGUUCGGGGUCGUCUCCUAUCUGCGCACAAGGAAACCGGGCCCCAGAGGGGAGCUGACCCCUGAGCCUCUCACAGGCUCCCCAGCUCGAGGAGACUGCUUCUUGGGGCACAUCUCCUGGGGAGCACAGUUGGGCUGGCCCUGGGCUCUCCCACAGAGGCAGGUCAAACGCAGGGAUGCUGGGAGCCACCGCUGAUGCCCACGCUCCUGGGGUCGCCUGGCAAGAGGCAGACCCACCCCCGAUUUACACGGAGCUGGGUGAGCCAGGGAACUUCAAAGCCUGCACCCGGACCCGGCUGGUCUCCAGGGGGAGGGCCCCCGCCCUUGGAAAAGGCAGACAUAAAGCCCCGUGAGGAGCGGCCUCCACCCUAGGCCUUGCAGAACCCCACAAGUAGAUUCUCAAGGACGUCGAGGAGCGUGCGUCUGAGGUCACCAGGCUUGUGAGGAAAUGAGGCAGCAAGGGCAGGAAUCGAGAGAAAACACACGACGGAGUGCCAGACCCAGUCUGAACCAGCGAUGCCCACAUGUUUAAGGCAAUAAAAGGCGAGCUAGAAAAUAAUCUCCAGGGAAUAGGAAACUAUUGAAGCAGCAGUGGAGAUUUGUAAAACAAGCAAACAGAACAUCUAGGAAUAGAAAAAGGACAAACACUCAAAACUCAGUGGCUGUGUUUGGCGGCCACACGGACGAUGCAGAGAGAAGUUAGUGAAAUGGAACACAAGCCCCGCGGGCUGAGCUCGGGGUGGGGUGGGGGGGCCCAGAAGCGGGACCCACAGGAGAGAGGGCAGCACGCAUGAAGCGUGCAGUGAGGGGGACUUCCAGGGGUCUAAGGCAGUCCCCGGAAGAGCGAGGAAACAAAAUUUAAACAAAAGUUGAGAAUCUUCCAGAACCAUCCCACGGAUACAAGACUCCAGGUGAAUUCCCAAGAAGGGUAAAUCCGCGACCAGACACACCUCGGGGGGAGCUGCAGAAAACCAAAGGGAAGAUCUUAAGCGGCCAGAGAGCAGGAGGACGGAGUACCGUCAAUGAGCAGCUCCCCACGGGCGGACCGGCUGACGGGCGUCCCCACACCCACACCCGCAGGAGGCCGGGGGCAAGGCAUCUCCAUCACCACAUGCUGGGAAAAGAGACCCCGGCUACCUCCCUCCCCUGUGAGAACACCCUUCAAAAUGGGGCAAAACGGAAAAGAGCGAGCGAUCCUGUCCCUCGCAGAGCUGUGCCAAGGGAAGUCCCCAGGCAGGAAGCUCCCGGCAGAAGCCAAAUCUGAGAUGCAAGAAAGGACAAGGGGGCAGAAAUACGUGGGAGAGUGGACAGGGACGUCUGAGAAAGGGCCAUAAGAGCGCCCAGCUGCUGCACAGGACUCUGGGGCGGGUGGGGACAAGGCAGGGGGCACCCAGGGUCACGCGUCCCUGCGGUCAAAAGGCAGCAGAAUAAACCACCUGAAGCCA